CGGAAGCCACCAGGAUGGGACCACCGCAGAGGAUUUCAGUUUGAUGAACCUUCAGCGGAUAAAGAUGCCCCAAACAAUUAAAGUCCGAGGCCGGCCAAAAGGGGCUUUGAAGACGGUCAUCGGAAUCCCAGCAAAAAGGCGGAAAUGCCAUAACAAGGCUCCUUUUUCCUUUUCAGGGACCGAUGCAGUGGCAGUGUCAGAUCACCAAAUGACAACUAAUGGAAGAGAUGGCAGUGAACCAAAAAGGAAGAAGCCCUCUCCUGCAAGAUUUGUUGACUUGCCAACAACAGCGAAACAGUUGACAAUGCUGAAAUGGUUUGUCUCAGAAUCUAAGGCAGGACUGGCAUUAUUUGAAAAUACUUUGUUGGAGGAGACGGAUGUCGAGGUGUUUCCCUGCAGGGUCUGUGAUGCAGCACUAGACAACACCAUAGACCUCAAAAUUAUCUCGGAGUUUUUCACACCUGAUGCAUGGGCUGCGGGAAAUUUUGGGAGAUGAGUCUGUGGCCUGUGAAGGGUGUCUUCUUUGGUAUGACAUCAUCUGUGCACGUGUGCCAAAGUCAAGGCUCUCAAGCAAAACCCCAUGGUUCUGCAAAAAGUGCUUAGAACUUAAGUUCUCAUUGUCAUUAUGUGUGUACAUAGUACAGGUGGCCCGGUGUAUACAGUGUAUAUAAUUCUGUGGACUACUGAAUAAUGCAAGUUAUUGCCUUGUCUCAUAAG